GGUUCUUUCUUAUCCUCAAAUAUUUCAUUUCUCAAAUGUCCAAAUAAUACUUUCUGUUUUGUAAAAAAAAUCUUUUGAUAUAUGUUCUUCUACCAACAACUCAAGCUUAUCUCUCUGAUCUCCUCACUCCCCGACCGACUACCAUAGAGACUCAGAGUCAACUCAAGCUUAUCUCUCUGAUCUCCUCAUUCCCCGACCGACUACCAUAGAGACUCAGAAUCAUCACCCCUACAAGAUGUUUAUGAAGAACACAAAUGCAAAAGGAUUGUGUAGAGAAAAGGCCAAAAUGGGACAAGUGGUCCGAUCCGAUCCCUCACAUUCAAGAUCCUUUGAGAAGUGCAGACGGAGAAAUGAUGGAGAACGUUAAGGAACAGAGAAUCUUGCGAACGUGCCAUAUUUUUUGGUUGAGUGUGACCGAAUGCUUGUAAUAUUUAUGUGAUGAUUUAGAUGGAUGUGUAGGGUGCAUGUGUGACGUGUGUAUGUGUAGUAUAACUGACGGCUAGUAAAAGAUGUAUAAGCAUGGUGUGUGACGUGUACUUGUAUAGAUGAGACCGUGUAGGAUGUGGACUUGGAUGGUGUACAUGAAUGUGUAGGAUGUGGACUUGGAUGGUGUA